UACGUAGGGUGCGAGCGUUAAUCGGAAUUACUGGGCGUAAAGCGUGCGCAGGCGGUUUUGUAAGCCAGGUGUGAAAUCCCCGGGCUCAACCUGGGAAUGGCAUUUGGGGACUACAAGGCUGGAGUGCGGCAGAGGAGACUGGAAUUCCUGGUGUAGCAGUGAAAUGCGUAGAUAUCAGGAGGAACACCGAUGGCGAAGGCAGGUCUCUGGGCUGACACUGACGCUCAUGCACGAAAGCGUGGGGAGCAAACAGG
rnacentral:rRNA from 1 species